GAAAAACUUAAUAUAAGCAGCCAAACUAAAACCCUGAUUAAUAGACUAUCCCCAAUAACACCUAAAUCUAAGGCUGUUCAUGUCAAGUGAAAAAAACCUAGGAAUCACAAACCAAAGUACAUCUGAAUAACAAAGAGACCACACCAACAAAACAAAAUAGAAAUACAUCAGUAGAUGUAGUCUCAAAAAUAUCAUAUCCACAAUUUCAAACAUAAACAGCAUAUUGCAACAGGGAUGAAUCAGAGUCAACAAAUGAAGUUUAAGACUUCUUCAGGUCAUGAGAAGCAACCAACUGUAGUAAAGAAGAGAGCCAUAUCAUCCUCGUUCACCACUGAAAGAUAGUAAGGAAAACAAUACAAAAUUAGAACCAAGCAGUGAAUUCAAAUUAGCUUCUGUUAAUUCCUUGUCUAGCAAGAGCGUCUGCAACACAGUUACAUUCCCUCAUGACAUGCUAAAAGCAAAUGUUUGAGAUCAUCCCCCUGAGAUUGUCAAUUUCAUUGAAGACAUAUUGUAAUAUCCAAGGCCUAUUAUCAACAGAAGAAUUAACCCAAGAAAUGGCAUUAAAAGAAUCUGAUUCUAUGAUGACUCCAUCCAGUUGUGGGGCCUGAGGUGACACUGAAAGUUGCAAUGCUCUUUUUAUAGCUAAUAACCCUGCAGAAUUUGAAUAGCAACCGCCACAAGGAGCAGAAAAAAUGCAAAGAAAAUUACCAUAAGAGUUUCUAAGCACUCCCCCGAUGCCAGCUAGUCCUGGUUUGCCGAAAGCUGAAGCAUCUGUGUUCCAUUUACCAUAGUUCAAUGGAGGAGUCUGCCAAAUGGUUUGUGGCCUAAAGGUUUUCUUCACAUUAUUCUCUUUAAUAUAAUCCACUGCCAAGGUAAGAUCUUGAAAUUUUAAAGUACAUUCAUCAACUGAAGUGCACAUCCAUAAGGAUGCUGUGCAAAGAAUGCUAGAAAAAAGCUUCUCAGCAUCAAAGACAGCUCCUUCAAAUAUCAAUUGAUUCCAGCAUAGCCAAAGGGACCAUACCACAGCAAAGAAAAUUGUCAUCCAAACCUUUCUCUGCACUUUACCAAUAACUAGUCCUUCCAGUUAGAAGAAUGGAUGUUUCAAUGAAGAAGGUAUAGACCAUGCUAAACCGCCCCAUGUGACAAAGCGGACACCAUAUAUUCCAAGAAGUAGGGCAAAGAAUGAAUAAGUGGUCACAAGUUUGUUGAUUUGAAGAGCAUAAUUGGCAUACCGUGUUAUGUUCAUUUAUGAUUCCCCUCUUAAAAAGCAGCUCUUGGGUUGUAAUUCUCCCCAAUAUGGCUAACUAAGAAAAGACCUCAACUCAAGAGAAAUUAUUAGAUGCACCUGGUGUGGCUAACCAAG
rnacentral:misc_RNA from 1 species